UACUCUGUGUCGUUGUAUCUGUCGAACUGCUUUGCUUUAUCUUGGCCAGGUCGCAAUUGUAAAUGAGAACUUGUUCUCAACUUGCCUACCUGGUUAAAUAAAGGUGUUCUCAACUUGCCUACCUGGUUAAAUAAAGGUGUUCUCAACUUGCCUACCUGGUUAAAUAAAGGUGAAAUAAAAAAAUACAAAUAAAAUUAGGAUGUAAGAGGUACUGUCCAUCACCACAGCAUUAAGAGGUACUGUCUAUCACCACAGCAUUAAGAGGUACAGUCUAACAUCACCACAGCAUUAAGAGGUACAGUCCAUCACCACAGCAUUAAGAGGUACAGUCUAACAUCACCACAGCAUUAAGAGGUACAGUCUAACAUCACCACAGCAUUAAGAGGUACAGUCUAACAUCACCACAGCAUUAAGAGGUACAGUCCAUCACCACAGCAUUAAGAGGUACAGUCUAACAUCACCACAGCAUUAAGAGGUACAGUCCAUCACCACAGCAUUAAGAGGUACAGUCUAACAUCACCACAGCAUUAAGAGGUACAGUCUAACAUCACCACAGCAUUAAGAGGUACAGUCUAACAUCACCACAGCAUUAAGAGGUACAGUCUAACAUCACCACAGCAUUAAGAGGUACAGUCUAACAUCACCACAGCAUUAAGAGGUACAGUCUAACAUCACCACAGCAUUAAGAGGUACAGUCUAACAUCACCACAGCAUUAAGAGGUACUGUCCAUCACCACAGCAUUAAGAGGUACAGUCUAACAUCACCACAGCAUUAAGAGGUACAGUCUAACAUCACCACAGCAUUAAGAGGUACAGUCUAACAUCACCACAGCAUUAAGAGGUACAGUCCAUCACCACAGCAUUAAGAGGUACAGUCUAACAUCACCACAGCAUUAAGAGGUACAGUCCAUCACCACAGCAUUAAGAGGUACAGUCUAACAUCACCACAGCAUUAAGAGGUACAGUCUAACAUCACCACAGCAUUAAGAGGUACAGUCUAACAUCACCACAGCAUUAAGAGGUACAGUCUAACAUCACCACAGCAUUAAGAGGUACAGUCCAUCACCACAGCAUUAAGAGGUACAGUCUAACAUCACCACAGCAUUAAGAGGUACAGUCUAACAUCACCACAGCAUUAAGAGGUACAGUCCAUCACCACAGCAUUAAG